rnacentral:ncRNA from 1 species
UUAAUGAUCUAUGGGAGCUAUGUGCUGAGAGGAAGUUCGACUUCGACCAUCAAACCGGUCAGGAUAAUGCCUGCGUGGGAUGAAGCAUAUUUAUUCUC